UAGGGAAUAUUGGUAAUGUGCGAAAGCGCGAACCAGCAACGCUGCGUGUGCGAUGACGGCCUUCGGGUUGUAAAGCACUUUUUAAGGGGAUGAGGAAGGACAGUACCCUUAGAAUAAGCCUCGGCUAACUACGUGCCAGCAGCCGCGGUAAAACGUAGGAGGCGAGCGUUAUCCGGAUUUAUUGGGCGUAAAGCGUGUGUAGGCGGUUUGAUAAGUUGGAUGUGAAAGCUCCUGGCUUAACUGGGAGAGGUCGUUCAAAACUAUCAGACUUGAGAGUGGUAGAGGGAGGUGGAAUUCCGGGUGUAGUGGUGAAAUGCGUAGAUAUCCGGAGGAACACCAGUGGCGAAAGCGGCCUCCUGGCCCAUUUCUGACGCUCAGACACGAAAGCUAAGGUAGCAAACGG
rnacentral:rRNA from 1 species